rnacentral:misc_RNA from 1 species
GAUGAAGAACGCAGCGAAAUGCGAUAAGUAAUGUGAAUUGCAGAAUUCAGUGAAUCAUCGAAUCUUUGAACGCACCUUGCGCCCUUUGGCUAUUCCGAAGGGCAUGCCUGUUUGAGUAUCAUGAACACCUCAACCCUCAUGGCUUGCCAUGAUGGGCUUGGACUUUGGGGGUCUUGCUGGAUUGUAGUCAGCUCCCCUUAAAUGAAUCAGCUUGCCAGUGUUUGGUGGCAUCACAGGUGUGAUAAAUAUCUACGCUUGUGGUUUUACAUCAGAUAACCUUCAGUGAUGGAGGUUCACUGGAGCUCAUAAAGGUGUCUCCUCAGCGAAGACAGCUCUUGAACGUUUGAUCUCAAAUCAGGUAGGACUACCCGCUGAACUUAAGCAUAUCAAUAAGCGGAGGA